rnacentral:rRNA from 1 species
UGGCGGCAUGCCUAACACAUGCAAGUCGAACGAUAAGCAUCCUUCGGGAUGUGGACAGUGGCGCACGGGUGAGUAACACGUGGGGACCUACCAUACAGUACGGAACAACCGUUGGAAACGACGGCUAAUACCGUAUACGCUCUUCGGAGGAAAGAUUUAUCGCUGUAUGAUGGACCCGCGCUGGAUUAGAUAGUUGGUGAGGUAAUGGCUCACCAAGUCUGCGAUCCAUAGCUGGUUUGAGAAGAUGAUCAGCCACAUUGGGACUGAGACACGGCCCAGACUCCUACGGGAGGCAGCAGUGGGGAAUAUUGCACAAUGGGCGCAAGCCUGAUGCAGCAAUGCCGCGUGAGUGAAGACGGCCUUAGGGUUGUAAAACUCUUUCGCUAGGGAAGAUAAUGACUGUACCUAGUAAAGAAGUCCCGGCUAACUCCGUGCCAGCAGCCGCGGUAAUACGGAGGGGACUAGCGUUGUUCGGAAUUACUGGGCGUAAAGAGUUCGUAGGCGGACUGGCAAGUAAGAGGUGAAAUCCCGGGGCUCAACCCCGGAACUGCCUUUUAAACUGCCAAUCUAGAGACCGGAAGAGGUUAGGGGAAUACCUAGUGUAGAGGUGAAAUUCGUAGAUAUUAGGUGGAACACCAGUGGCGAAGGCGCCUAACUGGUCCGGUACUGACGCUGAGGAACGAAAGCGUGGGGAGCAAACAGGAUUAGAUACCCUGGUAGUCCACGCCGUAAACGAUGAGUGCUAGAUGUUGGGAUCUUCGGAUUUCAGUGUCGCAGCUAACGCAUUAAGCACUCC